rnacentral:rRNA from 1 species
AUGUCAGUUGGUGUGUUAGUAUGGAAUGUCAGAGGUCUGAAUAGCCCUGCUAGGCGUAACUCUGUCCGUCUAUUUCUGCAAACUUGCAAUGCUUCUCUUGUUUGUUUUCAAGAAUCCAAGUUGGCUGUGGUGGAUAAUGUGUUGGUUUGGGAAACUUUAGGCCCGACCUUUGAUGGCUUUGAUUUUCUUCCAGCUGAAGGAACU